AGCCCCUGAAACGGGGUCUAAUACCGGAUACUGAUCCUCGCAGGCAUCUGCGAGGUUCGAAAGCUCCGGCGGUGCAGGAUGAGCCCGCGGCCUAUCAGCUAGUUGGUGAGGUAACGGCUCACCAAGGCGACGACGGGUAGCCGGCCUGAGAGGGCGACCGGCCACACUGGGACUGAGACACGGCCCAGACUCCUACGGGAGGCAGCAGUGGGGAAUAUUGCACAAUGGGCGAAAGCCUGAUGCGCGACGCCGCGUGAGGGAUGACGGCCUUCGGGUUGUAAACCUCUUUCAGCAGGGAAGAAGCGAAAGUGACGGUACCUGCAGAAGAAGCGCCGGCUAACUACGUGCCAGCAGCCGCGGUAAUACGUAGGGCGCAAGCGUUGUCCGGAAUUAUUGGGCGUAAAGAGCUCGUAGGCGGCUUGUCACGUCGGUUGUGAAAGCCCGGGGCUUAACCCCGGGUCUGCAGUCGAUA
rnacentral:rRNA from 1 species